rfam:Schistosoma mansoni strain Puerto Rico chromosome 4, complete genome
AUCCAGCUGACGAGUCCCAAUUAGGAUGAAACGCAUGUCCUAGAU